UCUUGGUUCAGGACGAACGCUGGCGGCGUGCUUAACACAUGCAAGUCGAACGGGAGUAUUGAAGAAGCUUGCUUAGAGAUACUUUAGUGGCGGACGGGUGGAGUAACGCGUGAGGAGCUGUCCUAUGCAGGGGGACAACAGCUGGAAACGGCUGCUAAUACCCCAUAAGCCGAGAGGUAAAAGGAUCAAUCCGGCAGAGGAGGUACUCGCGUCCUAUCAGCUAGUAGGUGAGGUAACGGCUCACCUAGGCGAAGACGGGUAGCCGGCCUGAGAGGGCGAACGGCCACACUGGAACUGAGAUACGGUCCAGACUCCUACGGGAGGCAGCAGUGGGGAAUAUUGGGCAAUGGGGGGAAAAACCCCCUGACCCAGCGACGCCGCGUGGGUGAAGAAAUCCUUCGGGAUGUAAAGCCCUGUUGUAUGGGAAGAGCGGAAGACGGUACCAUACGAGGAAGCCCCGGCAAACUACGUGCCAGCCGCCGC
rnacentral:rRNA from 1 species